rnacentral:rRNA from 1 species
UGACGUCAAAUCAUCAUGGCCUUUAUGCCCAGGGCUACACAACUGUGCUACAAUGGUAGGUACAAGCGGGAAGCGAAGCGGUGACGUGGAGCAAAUCCCUGAAAACCUAUCCCAGAUUCGGAUUGAAGUCUGGAACUCGACUUCAUGAAGGUGGAAUCGCUAGUAAUCGCGCAUCAGCCAUGGCGCGGUGAAUACGUUCCCGGACCUUGUACACACCGCCCGU